rnacentral:rRNA from 1 species
CCCUUAGAUGUUCUGGGCUGCACGCGCGCUACACUGAAGCUAUCAACACGUUUUCCCUCCCUGAGAAGGGCGGGUAACCUUUUGAAUCAGCUUCGUGGUAGGGAUCGGGGCUUGCAAUUGUUCCCCGUGAACCAGGAAUUCCUAGUAGACGCGAGUCAUAAGCUCGCAUCGAUUAAGUCCCUGCCCUUUGUACACACCGCCCGUCGCUACUACCGAUUGAACGGUUUAGUGAGGCAUUUGGACCGACGCAUCUCAGUUUAACCGCUGGUUUGUGUUGGAAAGACUUCCAAACUUGAGCGUUUAGAGGAAGUAAAAGUCGUAACA